GGAUCGGGCCUUUCAGGCAUCCUCUCCCAAAACUAUUCCAGGCCGGUCCUUGUGACCGGCCUUUUUUUUGGCCGCAA
rnacentral:sRNA from 1 species